UUGCCUACCAUGAGUCAGGGCAUGCAUUGUUGGUGGACUAACUGGCUUCCAUCUGUACCUUAUAGGUACCAAUCAGGUGACAUUGCUCGAAUCACGAGAUAGACUUGGUGGCCGGUUUCAUACUGAUUACUCAUUUGGUUGUCCAGUAGAUAUGGGAGCAUCAUGUGUGCAGUGAAGCAAGAGCACAACCCAAUUCCCCAAAAGCAAGAACAUGGAAGCUUUUAAAGAGCUUGGCUCCACCUGUAAUGGCUGCAGCUCUGCUCUUAUCUCCAAUCUUCAUUACUCCUAAUAAUCACACUCUUGCUGGGUUUAGCUUCGUUCAGUAUGUAAUACUUGUUUCAGUUUCAAUUUGAUGAAUGUUUAGUUGUAGACAAAUAAAAUUGUGCUUGUUGCUUUAGU